CCUACGAGAGGCAGCAGUGAGGAAUAUUGGUCAAUGGGCGCGAGCCUGAACCAGCCAAGUAGCGUGAAGGAUGACUGCCCUACGGGUUGUAAACUUCUUUUAUAAAGGAAUAAAGUGAGGCACGUGUGCCUUUUUGUAUGUACUUUAUGAAUAAGGAUCGGCUAACUCCGUGCCAGCAGCCGCAGUAAUACGGAGGAUCCGAGCGUUAUCCGGAUUUAUUGGGGUUAAAGGGAGCGUAGAUGGGUUGUUAAGUCAGUGGUGAAAGUUUGCGGCUCAACCGUAAAAUUGCAAUUGAUACUGGCAGUCUUGAGUACAGUUGAGGUAGGCGGAAUUCGUGGUGUAGCGGUGAAAUGCUUAGAUAUCACGAAGAACUCCGAUUGCGAAGGCAGCUUACUAAACUGCCACUGACAUUGAUGCUCGAAAGUGUGGGUAUCAAACAGGAUUAGAUACCCCAGUAGUC
rnacentral:rRNA from 1 species